ACUUAAGUAGCUUAUAGUAAGAGCGCGGCGUUGAAGUUGCCGAGGAAGUGUGAUACUCGUAAGUG
rnacentral:tRNA from 1 species